GCUGCGGUAGCUCAGUGGUAGAGCACUCCCUUGGUAAGGGAGAGGUCGAGAGUUCAAUCCUCUCUCGCAGCACCA
rnacentral:tRNA from 1037 species